CCUACGGGUGGCAGCAGUGAGGAAUAUUGGUCAAUGGGCUUACGCCUGAACCAGCCAAGUCGCGUGAGGGAUGACUGCCCUCUGGGUUGUAACCCUCUUUUGUCAGGGAGCAACGCCGGCUCCGUGUAGCCGGACUGAGAGUCCCUGAAGACAAAGCAUCGGCACACUCCGUGCCAGCCGCCGCGGUAAGACGGAGGAUGCGAGCGUUAUCCGGAUUUAUUGGGUUUACGGGGUGCGUAGGCGGCCUUUUAAGUCAGCGGUGAAAGUCUGUGGCUCAACCAUAGAAGUGCCGUUGAAACUGGGAGGCUGGAGUAUGGUUGAGGCAGGCGGAAUGCGUGGUGGAGCGGUGAAAUGCGUAGAUAUCACGCAGAACCCCGAUUGCGAAGGCAGCCAGCGAAGCCAUGACUGACGCUGAUGCACGAAAGCGUGGGGAUCAAACAGGAUUAGAUACCCCUGUAGUC
rnacentral:rRNA from 1 species